AUAAAUCAUUAAAUUUAAAAAAUUUGGCGGUAUUUUAUACAUUCAGAGGAACCUGUUGUGUAAUUGAUAGACCACGAUAAGAAAUACUUUAAAUUUUAUGUAUUGUUSUUUAAAAAUUUUUAUUAAGUAUAAAAUUAAUUAUUUUAAGAAAUUUAAUUCAAAUCAAAAUAUAGAUUAUUAAAGUAAUGGGUUACAAUUAAAUUAAAAUAUUGGAUUUAAAAGUAA
rnacentral:rRNA from 1 species